AACGUUGGUUGGGGAUACUCACUGACAGCAGCAAGACUGGCAGUAAUCUCAACCUUUGCCUUCAGACUAGAGCAGACCUCAUCAAUCAACCUAUCCAUCAAUGUAUGGGUACCUGUUAAGACGUUCAGGAUCCAGUUGUAAGAAUCAGCUGGGAACAAUGACUGCCAAAAGUGUCCAGAGGAAGUCUGCAGGACCUGGGUCUCUCCUAGGUGGAAUAUUCUUUGAAAUCAGAAGGAAAGUAACUUGGGUCUGGCCUUGAUGAGGCUCCUGAAUUUUCCUGCUUGUGAUACGGUGGUGUUCUGAAGACUGGCAAGUACCUUUCUUGUUUCUCUGCUGCUAUCCUGAAAAUGUGACUUGCGUGCAUUUGGGAGAAAGGUUUGCUGCCUGGGACAGUGCAACACAAGUUUAGAAGGCAGACUUGAAUCUGUCUGCACAUUUGGUCAGGUGAGCUUGGGCAUGCUCUUUAACAUCUGAAACUUUCCUUCUCCUUUUAUGCAAAAAAGGAGAAAAUCACCUGGGUGCAGGGUGGAGGAGGUAGCACUAAUAUUUACUGAGCAUUUACUAUGUCCCAAACAUUUCUUCUUCUCAGUGCUUUAUAUGUGUUCUCUCAUGUGAGCCUACAGUUACCUGUGAGAUAGAUAGUAACAUAAUCUGGACCUCACAAACAAACUGCCACAGAGAAGUAACUUGUUGAAAGCCACACAAAUAAGAUUGGAAUCCAGGAAAUCUGGCUUCUCGGCCACCAUUCUUUUUUUUUUUUUUAGAUGGAGUCUGGCUCUGUCACCCAGGCUGGAGUGCAGUGGCGAGAUCUCGGCUCACUGCAAGCUCCGCCUCCCGGUUUCAUGCCAUUCUCCUGCUUCAGCCUCCCGAGUAGCUGGGGCUACAGGCGCGCGCCACCACGCCCAACUAAUUUUUUGUAUUUUUAGUAGAGACAAGGUUUCACCAUCUUGGCCAGGAUGGUCUUGAUUCUUGACCUUGUGAUCCACCUGCCUCGGCCUCCCAAAGUGCUGGGAUCACAGGCGUGAGCCACUGUGCCUGUCAGCCACCAUUCUUAACCAUAACUGCCUCAGUAUGUUGUUGAGAGAAAUAACUAAAAAGAUGAACGUUAAACACAAAACAGUGCCAGGCACAUGGACGUGCUUAUUACAUGUAGCUGAAACAACAAAUCAUCAUCAUCCUCAGUAGCAAUAUCAAUAAUAUGGAUGGAAGGGCAGUUUUUCCAUUUGUUACAGGUGGAAUUUAAUCUCCUGAGAACCAGGUAAAGAGAUCUUCAUUUCACCCAUAAGUCCAAUCAGUACUUGGUGAAGGAUUCCUUCUUUCUUCCUCACCUGUCCUCCCCCUAGUGAACCACUGGUGUCAUUAAGAAACAGUUAACACACAUCAUCUUUCUUAGCUAUUUUUGCUGCCUGCCAUCUGGAGUGCCUCGGCUCUCUUGGAUGUGUUCACACUAAAUCAGCAGAUGAAAGCAUUAACUAAUUUCUCCAUUUCAGAUCCGCUCAUUUGGGUAACGAUGACCUUUAAAACGAGUGUCAUCCACCUCAUAACCAUGUGCCAUAUGUUGGAUGUCGGAUAAUAAAGCAUAUUUAAACUUAGCAGGCUCCAUAACACCUUAUGGCUGGUUGGUGAUUAACUAAUAACUUCCUUACCAGCAUCUUCCCGGUUAAGGCUGACAAAGCGUUUUGUUUGCCACUUAGUGUCCGUUUCCAUUGGAACCUUUUCAAACAUACUCCUAGAAGACUUGAUUGUGCACUGAAGCUUUCUCGUUCACUCUUGGCAUAUGGGGCCAGCACAUUUUCUCCCCCAGAUAUUUUAUUUCAUGCAAAAACAUAAUACCAGACACUGAUCCCUGAGUGCCAGACAUUGAUCCCUGAGUGCCAAGUGCCAAGAUCCCAUUUACUGUUCACAAAAGCUCCACAGGACAAGGGUUUCUGUGCCCAUUUAUGUACAGAUGAGAGUGAGGGUCAAAGAAACCGAGCAAUUAGCGCAAGUUCAUGGAAGGGCUGAGAUCUGAACCCAGAUCUCUUUCCCUAAAUGCCAUGACUGUAUUUUUACUUAUUUUUGUUUUUGCUAAAAUGCAAGAUACCAUUUUGGGUGUUUUGUUUUCCUCCCAUUCAGGGAAUCAAGCUAUGCCCUAGUUCAUGUCUUCAUCAGAAUGGGAAGCUUUAAAAGUUAAUUCCC
rnacentral:lncRNA from 1 species